rnacentral:lncRNA from 1 species
CCGCACGUGACGUCACUCUACUAACCCUUUUAAGACUAACACGCUGAGGAUGACGAGGCCACCUUUGACGAAGAUAGGUCCAGCUAUCGAAACAUUGGCCAGUCUUUCUAAGGCACUUAUCCUGUUCACAACCUUUAUACCACACUGUGCUAUUCCAUCAGUCAGCCCCAUUGAUUAUAAAGAAAGGAGUCAGACAAGGAGACACGAUCUCUCUAAUGCUAUUCACUGCGUGCUUGGAAGAAAUAUUCAAGCUAUUAAACUGGGAAGGUUUAGGCUUAAGGAUCGACGGUGAAUACCUCAACAACCUUCGGUUUACCGACGACAUUGUUCUAUUUAGCACCACUGCAGUCGAGUUACAACAAAUGAUUGAGGACCUUAACAGAAAGAGUGCAAGAGUGGAGUCGGAGAUUAAUAUGCAGAAGACAAAGAUAAUGAUGAAUAACCAGGCAAGGGAACAAGAGUUCAGGAUUGCCAGUCAGCCUCUAGAGUCUGUGAAGGCGUACGUUAACCUAGGUCAACUAAUCACAGGCACCCUGACCAUGAGAAGGAAGUUCACAGAAGAACAAAAAUGGGCUGGAUAGCGUACGGCAGACAUCAUGAGCUCCUGACUAGAAGCUUACUGUUAUCAUUGAAAAGGAAGGUAUACAAACAGUGCAUUUUACCGGUGCUGACAUAUGGAGCAGAGACUUGGAGACUGACAAAGAAGCUUUAGAACAAGUUAGGGACUGCACAGAGAGCGAUGGAACGAAGAAUGCUAGGCAUAACUUUAACAGACAGAAAGAGAGCGGUUUGGAUCAGAGAGCAAACAGGUGUAGACAAUAUCUUAAUUGACAGUAAGAGAAAAAAAUGGCACUGGGCAGGUCAUGUAAUGCGCAGAUUAGAUAACUGUUGGAGCAUUAGGGUGACAGAAUGGGUACCAAGAGAAGGGAAACGCACUAGAGGCAGCAGAAGACUAGGUGGUGCGACAAAAUUAGGAAAUUUGCGGGUGCUAGUUGGAAUCGGUUGGCACAGGACAGAGGUAAUUGGAGAUUGCAGGGAGAGGUCUUCGUCCUGCAGUGGACAUGAAAUAGGCUGAUGAUGAUGAUGACACCAUGAUUUCACUGGCUUCAUUCAUUGCAUGUUUCUGUGUACAGAUGUGGCCAAAAAAUAUCUAUCCCUUUGGAUACCCACAUUCUUCUCAUUGUGCACGGUAUGUACAACUGCAGUACCUUCUUUUGCUAAGCAUGGGAAUGCAACCUUUGAGUGAUGCACUGUGUCAUGUUCUAGAGUGGGCACACUCUUGCACAAGUCCAUUUUGCAUAUCCUGACACACAGGAAUGUAUAUAUUAGGAUACAUGGAAUAUGACAGCAGGAAGCAUGUUUGCCAGACAACCUAAUUUUAAGAUGUGUAGCAAUAUUCGCACACAAUUUAGAGCAUUGAAGCUCGGCCAUGACGACCAGGCCACACAUGUGCAGACAGCACAGGACAGCUUCUGCACGUUGAAGCGUUGAUAUCUCUUCCACACAAAUAUCGGCACAAGGGCUGCCUCAUGUCGCUGCGCAGCUACGGUGUGGAGCAGUCAAUUCUCAGUGAGGCUGAUUUAUGUCGAGCAAGAAAUUGAUUUUUAUUUCUUUUUUGUGCUCAUUAACAACUUGAAAACUAAAACAAUUAUGUUUACAGAUAUUCAAGCAUUUCGAAGCACUGUCAAUAGGUCUGUUUGAUUCACCCACACCACCUGAACUAGUUCACUAGGUGCUGCACCCUAACAUGCGCUUGAGUGGUACAGCAAUGGUGCAGGACUGGUUCAAGAUUUUCCUGCACCCUCUAAUAUUGGUGCCAACUUGGUGCAGGUGUACAUGUGGGACACAGCAGUGCAGGAUAGAGGUGCAAGAGAUGUUAGAGCACUGCUUGCUUGCGUCUGGUGUAACUAUGCAAGUGUGGUGUGUAUUUACCCUGAAAAGCCAAUCGUAACUGCAGUUUGAGACCAUCAAAACUAUGCACUCUAUGCACAAGACAUAAGGCCUGUACCAUGCCUGUGCCUCAGCAAUUAUUUCGAGUGUUGCAUUGUUCGUAAACUGCCAUGAACUAGUUCGGAGUGGUGCAGGCGAAUGGAAUGGACCUAACAGCUCAAUUAGCAACACUGUCUGGCAAGGCGUCUAUGCGGGAGCGCCAUCAGCCUGUUUAAAAAAUGCAAUCUAUUCAUCCUUCAAAAAUUCACGCCUUCACAGGUAUGAAGUGCAGUGUCGAGCAGAAGAAAGGGAGCAGCUUUUUGAACAUCUGGAAAAACUCGAAAGACGUGUGAAUAAAGAGAACCGCCCGAGCCUGUAAUAAAGUUUUGUUUAGCUUCGAGCAUAAUAAACGCUUUUACAAUAUAAACUACACAGAGUCAAUGUGCUGUGACCUUUGGGUCAUGUAAAUGACUUUUAUUUUUGCUUCCUUGAGAACAAAGUGCGGUGACUUCGACACAGCAACCCGGUACACAUUCAUUAUGUCAUACGGUGCACUACUCAAACUGUAAUGUUUCUUAAAAGGCCCUUAGACAACUCUUAACAUUUCAAACACGCAUUGUACACAGAAUACUGCAGCAACAACUUUUUAUGAACACAGCAGCACUACACGUCGCAGCGGUUGAAACAGAAUAUAUUUGCGGCUGGGUGUUCAAUGCAGAGGCUGAUGCACUGUUGUUGAACAGCAAAUUUUUGAGGUAACAAGGGUUUAGGGGCUCUUCAAGGCAUGACGCCAAGUUCGAUACCGGAUUUCUUACAAAAGUAUCACUUUUCAUUAUUUGCUUAGACGUGCCGAGUCUCAAGUUUGCUCUAGUGACACUCAGUCACUUCAACAAUGGCAGUACAGGCAGACUAGACAUAAUGAAACAAGUUAGAUUGGAACGUGGCCUUCGCACAAUUAAAAAUUAUCUCGCAAAACAUUUGACAAAGUCCUUCUGUGACUGCACUAGCGCUGCACAUGGUAGAAAAAGAAAAGGUGCACACAAGUAGAAGACAAGAAAAAAGUUUGGAGGAGACAAACUACAAACCUGUGGAAAAUUACCCCUUGAAAGACUUUCAUGUGUAAAGCUGAUGUUUCAAAUCCUUUCUUUGUUUUCCUUAAAUCAUUUUCUUUUGGCAAUUAUAUCAUACACCAACAAGCUUUUUACUUUUUUGGUAAUUUGGGUUCCCAAGCCCUGCAGAGCAUGCUAGUAGUUUACACUGAAGUUUCUCGUAAACCUGUCACGCGAAAUAAGCAGUAUAUUUAUAGGUAUAAUUUAUGUUCGGAUUUUAUGACGCUUUUCCGCGGUCCCGAGAAGGUUGUAUAAUCGGGGUUGCACUGUAUUUUGAUUUAGUUCUCUAGGUGGUAUUUCACAGCCCAAAACAAAUUGGCGGAAACAUACAGUUUAGUUGGCAAUUGUAGCUUUGUUCUGCUCGCUUGCGCUCCACCAUAAUGUCUUCGCACAAGAAUGCGAGACUGGACCCACAUGUGUCGGCGCACCAACGCGAAUUGUUGGUCACCUUCAUGAAGGGUGACCCAUACCUUGUGCGAGCAUCGUGCGAGCUCAGCCUGGAAUGUACAGUUGAGCGAAAGUGGCAUCUAUGCAACAAGCUUGCCACCCUAUUGAACGCGGAAUGCCCAGCCGCAAAGACUGCCGAGCAGUGGCAGGUGUUUUGGCAGGAGGAGGUUUUUCUCUUUUGUCGAGAUGCCGCCACACCUUCAACAAGCCAAAGGUGAGUGCGAGGAGUGGAUCUGUUGCUUGCGGUCUUUACAAUGCUGUUUGUAAUUGCAGUGGCAAAGAUGGAGGCCACCUGCCCGGCCUUCGUGGACAUAUCCAGCAAUUGGUCAGCACAUCCACAGUAAUGGGUGUGUGUGCACCCUUCUUUCAGCCACUCGACGAGGUAAGCUGUUCAUAAACAUGCCAAAAUUUUUUUGGCAAUCACAUCGCGUAUACUGCUUCGCGUGAGCAGUGUUAUACCGUAGUCACACAGGGUGCUUUCAAUUGCAAGCAAGAAAUUUUAUCUCUAUCGAAAGUGCUCAUGUGACAAUGGUAUGACAGAUACAGUUUUUCUCCCUUUAUGUGCAUGCGUGUGCGGUGGCAUGCACAAGGCAUUUUACUGCUAGAAUUUCAUGAAUUUCUUUUGUGUUUUCAUGACACUGUGAGUUGCACCCCAGGAGGAGCACAUUAGACGAACUUUUGAAAACUGCUUCUUGGUGUCUCAUACAUAAAGCAGCCCGCCGUGAAGGUGACCGUGACAACUGAGUCAGUGGGCAUCACAGCUGGCAUGAGCGGCCUUUCACGUGAAAGAGCACUGCCACAGCCAGACUGCCCUCCAGCAAAGCCAUUGCUCCACAGCCCUCCAGCUGCACAACCGAGAGCUGGCCCCAGCCCUAUGAGAACCAGUAAGUGAAAAGGAAAAUCCUGAAAUAUCACGGCUUUAAUGCUCUGGAUAUAACAUAGUUCAUAACAUAGUUAACAUAGUGAUCAGUUCAUUAUAAAUUGUGAUUUUUUUCCAGGCUGGCCACGCCCAGUACAUUGUCGGCCUCACGGACACUGUUGGGUCUCGCACCAGGAGGUCCUGGUACAAUGUCUGGUCAACGAUUAUGCUUGGAUCGUGGCACAAAAUGAAGAAACAAACAAAGUG